GAAGGAGGGAGAGAGGGAGAGAAAUGUCACCCGUAGCCCGGGCCCGCGGGGGAGAGGUGGCGCGUUAGAGAUGUGUGUGGGAGAGCGAGAGAGAGAGAGGGAGAGAGAGAAAGAGAAAGAUAGAGAGGGGGAGCGAGACCUCCGCCGGCCCCGCGAACUUGUCAAGCAGAAAACACGAAGCCUUUGGUCUCAAAGAACUUAGACCAUCAUGGCUACGAAAACUACUGCUACUCAGAAAGUAUGUAAUUCUGGAGCUCCUUAGUGACGAAAGUAGUGCAAGGCAACAUCAGAGCAGUUGCCAAGUGAUCUUCUCCACAGCAUGCAUGAACUUCAGCCUGGAACUGAAGAGGACUCAUCAAAUGCCUUAGGAAAGACAGCAUGGAGUUGGAAGAGAAGCAGGGAUCUCCACGAAGGGCAGUCAGUUAUACUCUUGGUGUGUGGAGGAACAGGUCCUGUUCUCGCUGUUGUUACUCCCACAUAGGCAGACUGUAAUUGAUUAUGUGUGGGUAGGGCCCUAUUGAAAUUCAGGAGAUUCUGCAGUAGUGCGGGGUUCUUUUUGUGAAAGUUCAGUUGCAAGAUCAGGACCCCACUGUGACUCCUAACUGUGAAUUCUGUCAGUGUAUCAUUGAUUGUGCUGGAACCUGCCUUUUGGGAUAAUUACCAAAUACUAUAUUCCUCAAAACUUCUUAAUGGCACUGAGGCUUUGUGGAUAGUUGGUCACAUGAGAAAAUUAAGCUGUAAAGGAGAAUCCGUAGAAGAACAAGAGUGAAAACAUUCUUGGAAAGCAAGAUUUAUAAGGCAUGUUUCAAAAGAGUUGUAUUUGUUUAGUCAAGAGCAGACCGGGGAAAAUAAUAUGACAUCUGAAGAUCAUUGUGAAGAAGAUGGUCACCAAUUGUCUUUUGUAUCCAGUUGUGGAAGAACAAGAAAAAAAUUAUCUUAGUUUGCAGUCAAAAAUAACAGGCUACAUAUCUGGAAAAUCUUUCUAAGUACAAGGACAGUUAAAAACUGGAACCAACCUAUCUGUCAUUGAUGCAGCAUCUUCCUCACUGGCAAUUUAGAAUGGAUUAGACAAAAAGUUUCUGUCAUCAAAAUGCUCUUACACCUAUCUUCUUUUAUAACUGUUGGCUCCACGCAAUAAAUAAUCUGGAAUAUUAAGAAGUAAUUUGAAAAAUAAGUUGGAAUGUGGAGAUGAAAUCAGAUAGUCCGAACGCAUGAUAAAUCAUCAUAAAUGCAGUUCAUCAAUAAGGCUAAAGCAUGUUACCUGUUCAUACAAGCAGUGCUAUUGUUCUGCUUACACUGCUUGGUUCUCUGGUCAGGAAGCUGGUCAAUACCCUUUUUUCUUGGCUUCUAAUUCUAUCUAGCACACACUCCUCAGCCCGGUUUUCCACUCAAGUUGGCCAAAGCACAGAGAGUUAUUUUAAUUGCCCAGUUUUUACAAAGAACAUUAAUAACUCAUCUGGGAUGCUUUUGGAUGCUUCUUUGAGUGGUUGUGUAGAUGGAUUUCGUUGCUGGUGUGCAUGUGUCCCUGGACUGCAAGGACAAAUUAUUUGGAUAAGCAGAGUCCAUUAAAUGGUAUCAGCAGACUACUACUUGAAGCACCUUCAUGUCCACUGUCCUCAGGGCAUUAAAUAGCCAUGUCUACUUUACCUGUAGUGCUGACCUAUUGUGAUAGUUGUUUUUAUGACUUGCAUCAAGUGUGAAGCAUUCAAAGCCAUGUGUCAAAGAUGGGACAACCGAAGGAACACAUUUGUGAAGUUACCUGCUCAAAGCCGUAACAGAUGCCAAUGAUAAAUCCAGGAACAGAAGCUAAGUCUCCCAAGUUGUGGCCUAACACCAUCAACAAGCCAAUUGAUCACUGGGAGUCUGAGCUUGAAUGAAGGUGGAAGAAAAUUCCUACAGGGAAUUGGGAGUGGUUUGUCCCUUAAGAAGGAUGUAAUGGCAUUUUUAAUGCUUUCACCAAAUACCAGGACAUGUGAUAAAAGUUCAUGGACUGAGAAUUAAUUGAAAGAUUGUGAAAUGGGAAAGAAUGCACAUUAUGGGAAGCCUUGGAGAGCUACAACCUAAGCUCCCAGAAUAUCACUGGAGUUGAUGGAAACAUCUCCGAUGACUGGGUUUUUUUUAAUAUAAUUUGCCAGCCCCUGUAGCCCUCCCCAGACAGACUGGGGAAAUACAUUCCUUUUAUUAAUAUUAGUCCAGGGGACUCAAGUAUAUUUCAGGCAGUGAAUGAUAUAGUUGAUGGAAUUUGCUACAGAAUUCAAAUAAAAAAAAAAAGACAGUGGAAACUUGUACCUGUGGGUUGGUAUAUGUUUUAAAAACUGUUUUUCUACAGAUAAUGGGCUUAUAUCUAAACUUUGUUAUUUGCAAUAUAAAGGUUUACAGUUUUAUAUGUAUUAAAUAAUACAUCUCUAUGAUAAAACAUGAAAUGUUUAAUUAAAACAACGACUAAAAGUAUGUAACUAUGUAAAUAUUACCUAAAUCCUGUGUGUAAAUGUUACAUAAACUGUUUCAUUUCUAGGGGUCACUGAAAACACUUUAAAAUUUUAUACAGUUUUCUACACUUCCCCCUCCCCUAGUUUUUAAUAUAAUUGCAGGUUUAAAGUUAAUCUGUCUAUUAGUUUUUUGAUAUUUGCCGUUGUGUUAAAUUUUACUGAGGAACAAUUUAGUUUGGGGAAACCAUUGAAUCUGUGGUUCAUGUUGUUUGAACAAGAAGUCCCUGAGUAUUUGUCCCAAAUACCAGCAUUUUUACUACACUGGCAGCUGUAUAUUUGUGGUCACCCGAUGGCAACAUAUGCAAAGAUUGUAUACAGUGGCAGUGCCUCUUCCAGAGAAUACCAUGAGGGAAACUGGAUGUGGCCGAUGCACACAUAAUUUGCUCUUCUAGGUGGAGGUAUCAUGUAGACAGCACUUAAAUGACACUUUUUAUUUCUGGAUAAGAUGAAGGUAAAAGAUAGAAACCAUUUGAAAGCCAUUGCUUAUGUCCCCUGAAACAGGCUGAAAAGAAUAGCUCCUCUGAGGCACAGCUUAAAACUGAACAUACACAGAGAUGUGUCAUUAGUAAUUCUGAAAAUGUGUUUACAGUGAUUAGAUAAAAUAUUUAGCCACCAUUUAAAUAUUUUAGUUCAUACGCAAAUUUUAGGUGUCUACUACACUUAACAUUUCCAAUAACUGGUUUCAUUAGGAUUUUUAGUGAUACAAAUUAAUAACAAAAGGCAGUAAUACAGAGUGCUGUUAUGAGGCCAAAAUACAUGUGGUUUAAAUUUGAAGAAUUAAAUGUUAGCAUUUCCCUAUAGAGAAAGGUUAUUUGGGCAGUGGUGUACUGACAUUAUCACCACCCACAGAGAAGGGGUCCUGUUAAUCCUAUUGGUUAAGUAGAAAUGCAAAAAAGGAAAAAUGUAGGUCUAGAGGGUUUGCUUGGUGUAAGUGAAUCACACGGGAGAAAUGCUGAUACCCAAAAUUGUCGUAGUGACUUUCUUAGAUGGUUAGAAAAAGAAAUAAGCAUGGGAUAUUUUUGUCAAGUUAGAGGGUUUUAGAUUGCUUGCUAGGUAAAAUCAGUCCUGGUUAUUAAUGUAGU